CCUACGGGAGGCUGCAGUGAGGAAUAUUGGUCAAUGGGCGAGAGCCUGAACCAGCCAAGUCGCGUGAGGGAGUACUGCCCUAUGGGUUGUAAACCUCUUUUGUCGGGGAGCAAAAGCCGGACGUGUCCGGCUGUGAGAGUACCCGAAGAAAAAGCAUCGGCUAACUCCGUGCCAGCAGCCGCGGUAAUACGGAGGAUGCGAGCGUUAUCCGGAUUUAUUGGGGUUAAAGGUUGCGCAGGCGGAUUUUUAAGUCAGCGGUCAAAUCGUGGGGCUCAACCCCAUCCAGCCGUUGAAACUGGGGAUCUAGAGUGUGCGAGAGGUAUGCGGAAUGCGUGGUGUAGCGGUGAAAUGCAUAGAUAUCACGCAGAACCCCGAUUGCGAAGGCAGCAUACCGGUGCACAACUGACGCUCAGGCACGAAAGCGUGGGUAUCGAACAGGAUUAGAUACCCGGGUAGUC
rnacentral:rRNA from 1 species